rnacentral:sRNA from 1 species
AGCAGCCGCGGUAAUUCCAGCUCCAAUAGCGUAUAUUAAAGUUGUUGCAGUUAAAAGCUCGUAGUUGAAUUUCGGGAUCAGUAUGUUGGUCGUGCUUCGGUACGUACUGUCAUUACUGGUUUCUACCUUCUGAAGAACCAUGAUGUCAUUAAUUUGGUGUCUUGGGGAAUCAGGACUGUUACUUUGAAAAUUAGAGUGUUUAAAGCAGGCUCGCGCUUGAAUACAUUAGCAUGGAAUAAUGAAAUAGGACGUUUGAUUCUAUUUUGUUGGUUUCUAGGAUCGACGGGUAAUGAUUAAUAGGGAUAGUUGGGGGCAUUAGUAUUCAAUUGUCAGAGGUGAAAUUCUUGGAUUUAUUGAAGACUAACUACUGCGAAAGCAUUUGCCAAGGAUGUUUUCAUUAAUCAAGAACGAAAGUUAGGGGAUCGAAGACGAUCAGAUACCGUCGUAGUCUUAACCAUAAACUAUGCCGACUAGGGAUCGGAUGAUGUUAAUUUUUAAUGACUCAUUCGGCGCCUUACGG